rnacentral:rRNA from 1 species
CUCCCAAAACCAUUGUGAACGUACCCGUCAGCGUUGCCUCGGCGGGCGGCCCCUCCCUGGGGCCGCUGCCUCCCUCGGGGGGUGCCCGCCGGCGUACCAAAACUCUUUUGUAUUUUAGUGGCCUCUCUGAGAAAACAAGCAAAUAAGUUAAAACUUUCAACAACGGAUCUCUUGGUUCUGGCAUCGAUGAAGAACGCAGCGAAAUGCGAUAAGUAAUGUGAAUUGCAGAAUUCAGUGAAUCAUCGAAUCUUUGAACGCACAUUGCGCCCGCCAGUACUCUGGCGGGCAUGCCUGUUCGAGCGUCAUUUCAACCCUCAAGCCCUGCUUGGUGUUGGGGUCCUACGGCUGCCGUAGGCCCUGAAAGCUAGUGGCGGGCUCGCUAUAACUCCGAGCGUAGUAGUAAAAUAUCUCGCUAGGGAGGUGUCGCGGGUUCCGGCCGUGAAAGCCCAUCUUUUACACAAGGUUGACCUCGGAUCAGGUAGGAAUACCCGCUGAACUUAA